AUUGAACGCUGGCGGCAGGCCUAACACAUGCAAGUCGAGCGGAUGACGGGAGCUUGCUCCUUGAUUCAGCGGCGGACGGGUGAGUAAUGCCUAGGAAUCUGCCUGGUAGUGGGGGACAACGUUUCGAAAGGAACGCUAAUACCGCAUACGUCCUACGGGAGAAAGCAGGGGACCUUCGGGCCUUGCGCUAUCAGAUGAGCCUAGGUCGGAUUAGCUAGUUGGUGAGGUAAUGGCUCACCAAGGCGACGAUCCGUAACUGGUCUGAGAGGAUGAUCAGUCAAACUGGAACUGAGACACGGUCCAGACUCCUCCGGGAGGCAGCAGUGGGGAAUAUUGGACAAUGGGCGAAAGCCUGAUCCAGCCAUGCCGCGUGUGUGAAGAAGGUCUUCGGAUUGUAAAGCACUUUAAGUUGGGAGGAAGGGCUUACAGCGAAUACCUGUGAGUUUUGACGUUACCGACAGAAUAAGCACCGGCUAACUUCGUGCCAGCCGCCGCCGUAA
rnacentral:rRNA from 1 species